rnacentral:rRNA from 1 species
CAGGUGGUCAGGUAGAGAAUACCAAGGCGCUUGAGAGAACUCGGGUGAAGGAACUAGGCAAAAUGGUGCCGUAACUUCGGGAGAAGGCACGCUGGUGUGUAGGUGAAGUCCCUGCGGAUGGAGCUGAGACCAGUCGAAGAUACCAGCUGGCUGCAACUGUUUAUUAAAAACACAGCACUGUGCAAACACGAAAGUGGACGUAUACGGUGUGACGCCUGCCCGGUGCCGGAAGGUUAAUUGAUGGGGUUAUCCGUAAGGAGAAGCUCUUGAUCGAAGCCCCGGUAAACGGCGGCCGUAACUAUAACGGUCCUAAGGUAGCGAAAUUCCUUGUCGGGUAAGUUCCGACCUGCACGAAUGGCGUAAUGAUGGCCAGGCUGUCUCCACCCGAGACUCAGUGAAAUUGAACUCGCUGUGAAGAUGCAGUGUACCCGCGGCAAGACGGAAAGACCCCGUGAACCUUUACUAUAGCUUGACACUGAACAUUGAGCCUUGAUGUGUAGGAUAGGUGGGAGGCUUUGAAGCGUGGACGCCAGUCUGCGUGGAGCCAACCUUGAAAUACCACCCUUUAAUGUUUGAUGUUCUAACGUUGGCCCCUUAUCGGGGUUGCGGACAGUGUCUGGUGGGUAGUUUGACUGGGGCGGUCUCCUCCCAAAGCGUAACGGAGGAGCACGAAGGUUAGCUAAUCCUGGUCGGACAUCAGGAGGUUAGUGCAAUGGCAUAAGCUAGCUUGACUGCGAGCGUGACGGCGCGAGCAGGUGCGAAAGCAGGUCAUAGUGAUCCGGUGGUUCUGAAUGGAAGGGCCAUCGCUCAACGGAUAAAAGGUACUCCGGGGAUAACAGGCUGAUACCGCCCAAGAGUUCAUAUCGACGGCGGUGUUUGGCACCUCGAUGUCGGCUCAUCACAUCCUGGGGCUGAAGUAGGUCCCAAGGGUAUGGCUGUUCGCCAUUUAAAGUGGUACGCGAGCUGGGUUUAGAACGUCGUGAGACAGUUCGGUCCCUAUCUGCCGUGGGCGCUGGAGAAUUGAGGGGGGCUGCUCCUAGUACGAGAGGACCGGAGUGGACGCAUCACUGGUGUUCGGGUUGUCAUGCCAAUGGCACUGCCCGGUAGCUAAAUGCGGAAGAGAUAAGUGCUGAAAGCAUCUAAGCACGAAACUUGCCCCGAGAUGAGUUCUCCCUGAGACUUUAAGUCUCCUGAAGGAACGUUAAAGACGAUGACGUUGAUAGGCCGGGUGUGUAAGCGCAGCGAUGCGUUGAGCUAACCGGUACUAAUGAACCGUGAGGCUUAACCUU